rnacentral:lncRNA from 1 species
AAUAAGAGGAAGAGAGAGCCCCAGGGGAGCACAUCUCGCGAGGCACCUGAGCACCAGCCAGUACAUGCUGUUGCACCAACUCCACAAGAGCACCAGUUACAGCGCGCACUGGCCUCUGCUCAGCCGCCCCGCGAGAUGGUCCCUGUCGUGGUUCCGUCGCUUGUCAUGGAGCCGGGCCAACGGGAGGUCUUCAAGCAGCACCGCAGUGUGGAUGACAUUCGGGCAACGCUCUGCGGGCGCUCCGCUGCCAAUUACGUCUCUGAGGAAGAGCAGCAGAAGUACGCAGUGGAGCUGGUGUCAUUUCUUUCUAUGAGGGGGCGCUGCCUCAUACACCCACGCCCAGGCAGAGGGAGCGUGAUGCGGCCAGGAAUCUGAAACAGAGAGCAAAUACAUGACUGAGG